UAAGGGGAUUAUACUGGAGGUGCUCCACCUGUUCCCAUUCCGAACACAGAAGUGAAAUCCUCCAAGGCCGAUGAUACUGGUUAUUGCCGGGAAAGUAGGUAGUCCCCCUAU
rnacentral:rRNA from 1 species